rnacentral:rRNA from 1 species
AACGAACGCUGGCGGCAUGCCUAACACAUGCAAGUCGAACGAACCCUUCGGGGUUAGUGGCGCACGGGUGCGUAACACGUGGGAAUCUGCCCUUUGCUUCGGAAUAACAGUUAGAAAUGACUGCUAAUACCGGAUAAUGUCUUCGGACCAAAGAUUUAUCGGCAAAGGAUGAGCCCGCGUAGGAUUAGCUUGUUGGUGAGGUAAAGGCUCACCAAGGCGACGAUCCUUAGCUGGUCUGAGAGGAUGAUCAGCCACACUGGGACUGAGACACGGCCCAGACUCCUACGGGAGGCAGCAGUGGGGAAUAUUGGACAAUGGGCGAAAGCCUGAUCCAGCAAUGCCGCGUGAGUGAUGAAGGCCUUAGGGUUGUAAAGCUCCUUUACCAGGGAUGAUAAUGACAGUACCUGGAGAAUAAGCUCCGGCUAACUCCGUG